rnacentral:rRNA from 1 species
UACAGAGGGUGCAAGCGUUGAUCGGAUUUAUUGGGCGUAAAGCGCUCGCAGGUGGUUCGAUGCGUCGUGCGUGAAAGCCCCCGGCUCAACUGGGGAGUGUCGUGCGAUACGGUCGAACUGGAGGCCAGUAGGGGGAUGCGGAAUUCCGGGUGUAGUGGUGGAAUGCGUAGAGAUCCGGAGGAACACCAGCGGCGAAGGCGGCAUCCUGGACUGGUCCUGACACUCAUGAGCGAAAGCGUGGGGAGCGAUCCGG